GGUUGAUCCUGCCAGUAGUCAUAUGCUUGUCUCAAAGAUUAAGCCAUGCAUGUCUAAGUAUAAAUAAAUUUAUAUUGUGAAACUGCGAAUGGCUCAUUAAAUCAGUUAUGAUCUACGUGACAUUUCUUUACUACUUGGAUAACCGUGGUAAUUCUAGAGCUAAUACAUGCAAAAAAAGCCUCUCUUCGGAGGGGUUGCACUUAUUAGAUAAAGCCAACGCGGGGUUAAACCCGUCUCCCUGGUGAUUCAUAAUAAUUUAGCGGAUCGCAUGGCCUUGUGCUAGCGACGGUCC
rnacentral:rRNA from 1 species